GUUCGUUGAAUUCGAUACUAUAAACGCAUGCAUUUGAAAUCACGUAGAUCGUCAGUAGCGGUGUGCAUCAAUUCUAUUUUCAUUUUUCACGUAUCGGUCGACCGCGUUGAACUACAUUUCAACACCCUUCGAGACUGAUUUCUGUAUCAUCGGCUGAUUUACCAUUCUGCAUAAUAGAGAAUUUACGCGUUGGCAAGUAUUGUUAUGCAAAUUAACAAUCUAAUGGUUAUAUAAAGCAUUAUCUGUGAAUGUGAGACGUUCAGCACUGACGUAAACAGGCCUUUAUGGUGGGCAAGAAUCGAUGCUGUAUGACAAAACCGGUUUUAUAUCAUAUUUGAUUGGCCAACGAGGACCACCAUAGCAUGGUUGAGUUACAACAAACAGGUAAUGUAGCAUAUUAAACGAUAAUCAUGUUUCAGGCACCAUUCUGUUAUGUGUGUUUCAAUAUUAUAUGAAAGCGUACAUUGGUGAGGUUCCGUGUAACGUCGUAUGUGUGGCAAACAAUAUUUGAAGCAAUCGACAAUUCGCAUCGCUAUUUAUAUUUACCAUUAUUUAUCGCUGCUGUCAACCGAAUGCUGAACAGGAGUUGCAAAACCAAGUUGACUUUCUGAGAUCCGCACAUCCUUCCGGAUUGCUUACUUUGGAUCCAUCACAACAAGAAAGCAUUGACACGAAGCUUCCCUUUGCCGAGGAAGACUGCAAGAGCCCGGAACAGAUGAUGAUUGACGAAACCCAGUCCGUAUUUAAAGUAUUUGAUUACUGAGAAAGCUAUUUCGUUUGCAACCUUAGUGCACGUAUGGACAUCGAUGAUUUUAGGGCAAUAAAAUCUAGUGACAUUAUUCGAGAAUAGAUAUAAUUUGUACCACUUUGUCCCGGAGAUUCUAUCGUAGGAAAGUUUACGAUCUUAGCUGAACUAGUUAUUUGGUCGUCUACUUUUUAGUCGGCUGAGCGAGGAUUGUUGAGCUAUCGAAGGAAAAUAUCGAUCCAAGAUAUACCAUUCAACUACCAAUCGCAGACACUAGUUAUGUUUUUUGUUUUCUAAGUUACUUUGCCUAAACUGGGCAGGAAACGCAAUGGACGAAGAGUCCAUGCACCAUCUAAAAGAAUCUACGUUAGCUUAAUUCGUGGAGAUGAGCUAAGUGGUCUUAUCAGUUGCCAGUGCAGGAGGUAACGAUUGUCGCAGCUUAUCAUUCGCUUCCGUCUGUUUAUCUUUCUCAUACAUGCGUACGUCGUCAAUGCUCAUUCCAUGCCACUCAUCGAUCCAAGCGAACGCUUGUCUGUGCCCCAGUAGAAGUACGUCCCGGAUGCACUUGAUGGAAAAUUUGUAUAUGAUAAAAUGUUAAUUGCACUCAUAUAAAGGAAAAUCGUGAUAACUUUAAA